GACGAACGCUGGCGGCGUGCUUAACACAUGCAAGUCGAACGCAGAAGCUUGGUGCUUGCUCUGGGUGGGUGAGUGGCGAACGGGUGAGUAACACGUGGAUAACCUACCCUUGAGUCUGGGAUAAGCUUGGGAAACUGGAGCUAAUACUGGAUACGAUAUGGAACCGCAUGGUUGUGUGUGGAAAGAGUUUUUGUGGUUUUGGUUGAGCUCGCGGCCUAUCAGCUUGUCGGUGGGGUAAUGGCACGCCAAGGCGACGAGGGGUAGCCGACCUGAGAGGGGGGCCGGGCACACGAGGACUGCGAGACGGCGCAGACGGGUAUGGUACGCAACGGUGGAGAAUAUUACAGAGUAGGCGGGCGCCAGAGACGACGAUGCCGGGUGAGGGAUGACGUGCUUCGAGUUGUGAACCACUGUCAGCGCGGAUGAGGCGAUAGUGACGGUACCUGAAGAAGAAGCCACGGCUAACUACGUG
rnacentral:rRNA from 1 species